UGCAGUCGAGCGGUAGCACAAGAGAGCUUGCUCUCUGGGUGACGAGCGGCGGACGGGUGAGUAAUGUCUGGGAAACUGCCUGAUGGAGGGGGAUAACUACUGGAAACGGUAGCUAAUACCGCAUGACGUCUUCGGACCAAAGUGGGGGACCUUCGGGCCUCACGCCAUCMGAUGUGCCCAGAUGGGAUUAGCUAGUAGGUGGGGUAAUGGCUCACCWAGGCGACGAUCUCUAGCUGGUCUGAGAGGAUGACCAGCCACACUGGAACUGAGACACGGUCCAGACUCCUACGGGAGGCAGCAGUGGGGAAUAUUGCACAAUGGGCGCAAGCCUGAUGCAGCCWUGCCGCGUGUAUGAAGAAGGCCUUCGGGUUGUAAAGUACUUUCAGCGAGGAGGAAGGCAUUAAGGUUAAUAACCUUAGUGAUUGACGUUACUCGCAGAAGAAGCACCGGCUAACUCCGUGCCAGCAGCCGCGGUAAUACGGAGGGUGCAAGCGUUAAUCGGAAUUACUGGGCGUAAAGCGCACGCAGGCGGUUGAUUAAGUCAGAUGUGAAAUCCCCGAGCUUAACUUGGGAACUGCAUUUGAAACUGGUCAGCUAGAGUCUUGUAGAGGGGGGUAGAAUUCCAGGUGUAGCGGUGAAAUGCGUAGAGAUCUGGAGGAAUACCGGUGGCGAAGGCGGCCCCCUGGACAAAGACUGACGCUCAGGUGCGAAAGCGUGGGGAGCAAACAGGAUUAGAUACCCUGUUAGUCC
rnacentral:rRNA from 1 species